GUUCCCCCGCCCCUUGUAGGGAUCCCACUGGAUCCUGGGCUCCCUGGGCAACUUGCUGGUGGACGGCGGGAACCCUCUAAGCGCGCCGAGAGGGGUCAGACGCCCUCCUGGGGGAGGUCAGACUCCGGGGUCUCCGAGAGGUUAGUCCAGCUGGUGGGGCUCUGGCUUCAGCACCCCCAUUUGUACAAAGAGGGAGGGUUCACCAGGUUGAGGUCGCCGUAGCGCAGGGCUCCCUGGGCCCUCUCGGAGCCAGGGUUGGGGUGGACAAGUUGACCUUGACACAUUGUUGGGACCCAAGCUCUGUGGCCUCAGGCUCACGUCAGCACUGUGUUUGCUGGGAGACAUACUCACCUGGGAGAGAGGCCCAGAGGUAGGCCGGGUUGGAACAGAGGGGGCCUAUUGAUCAACUGGGGCUCCUCCCCAGUUUAGCCCAGCCACCCACUCUUCAUACCAGAGGUAAGUCCCACUGGAUGAGCUUUUGGGAUUCAGCCAAACCAGGUGAACUCGUUUUCUAAGUUGGCAGCUUUGUGUAUGUUGCUUCUGUGAGCAGAGCGUGGCCAGCCAUUCUCAGGUCGUCUGCAGGAGUAGAUGGGGCCUGAUUAGUAGGUAAUGGCUACUUCUGUCAGGGGGUGAGGCAGGGAAUGCACCCUGACCUCAGAAGGGGUGCUCUCCUUCACUUCAACCUCGAAGGCAGGGGAUGUCGGGGACACGUGGGACUGAGCCAGGAAGACCCAGCAGGCCCCAUGCAGAUGCCUGGACCCUGAAUCCUAGGCUCCUGGCUGCUUUGAUGCUAUGCACAUGUUUCGGGCAGGGCCUGCAUCCCUGUGUGGCCGAGAUGCCUGUGCCAGAGAGGCCUGGCCAGAAACCUGAACCCCUACCUGCCACAGCCACUCAGCCCUGCUCAGGGCCUGUCUCCUCUGCCAGCUGUGCCCUCACCCCUGGGCUGGUGCUUCAGCCCAGGAGCCUUGAGGGAGGGGGUUCUGCUAGAGCAGGCAGGAGCCCACCUGAUGUGUCCCUCGCACCCACCCUUUGGCUUUGCAGGCACGGCUGCCAUACAGUUAUCGCCAGCAGAAGCCUUCCAAGAGUUUCAGUGGCUGCCAGGAAGCUGGCCUCUGCCACUGGCCAGCGGUGCCUCCCUUUAUCUAUGGACGUUUGAGUUCCAGCAGCCAUCACAGCUGCCGUGGACCAGGGACUAAAGGAGUUUGGGAAAAUUGACAUCCUCGUUAACUGUGUGGCUGGACACUUCCUGUGCCCUGCUAGCGUGUUGUCCUUCAAUGCCUUCAAGACUGUGAUGGACAUCGAUGCCUUGGGACUCGGGUGCUUUACGAGGUUCUUCCGGGUGCGUGUCCUCUGGGCCGGGCUGCCCCUCCUCUCGUGCCGGCUCAUCGCCUGCUUUGUGUAUUGCAGGACCACGGAGGGGUGAUGGUGAGCAUCACCGUGACCCUGGGUACCCGGGGGCGGGUGCUCCAAGUGCACACAGGCUCUGCCAAGGCGGCCGUGGGUACGGGCACCCCUCUGGUCUGCUGCCUGGGUUCCUGUCAAGUCCCCCCCUGUCUGUCCCGGGAGGCCUGCAGUACCCGUGUGAUGCUCAGUCCAGCGAUGGGCAGUGGAGAGGCCCGGCCCCAGCCCUGAGCCCCCACUUGCACCCAGCGCCCCCAGGAGGCAGAGCAGCCCUGCUUCUCCCUCAUGCCUCCCUUCCUUCCGUGCAGAUGCCAUGACGAGGCACUUGGCUGUGGAGUGGGGUCCGGUGUGAACAGCCUUGCUCCAGGCCCCAUCAGUGGCACAGAGGGGUUCCGGCGGCUAGGUAAGGCUGUCGGGGAGCCCAGGCCCCCCACAGGUGCUCCCUGGGGCCCAAGCCUGGGAUAAGUGCUGAGUCGUCAUGGCUCCCUGGGGCUGGCAGAGUGUCCCCACGCCAAGUCAGGGCCAAUCCUGGUCAGUGCACAUCCGUGAGGGACUAUGGGCAGCUGCUCCCUGGAGGUAGAGGCCACAGGGCCACGGCCCUUGAUGUGAGCCAGGCACACGGUGAGGCACCCCCUGAAGCUUCUAGAACCUUGGCAGGGCGUACAUCAGAAAGUCCUGUGCUGGCUCUGUGGUGGUGCUGCCCUGUGGCUGGCCCGCACCUGCUCCCCCAGGAUGCUGCUCAUGGCCCCAACAUUCCCGGAUGUAGCUGGGA